AGCCUCCUUAACCAGUACACAUCCUGCUGAUGACAUCGCUCUACCAGCUCUGGUCCUGAGGAUGGAGGUUCCAGUCAGGUGAAAGGGAGGAAAGAUCUUGUCUGCUGCCUCAGAUCUUGUCUACAGCAAAGCCUUCUCCUGGGACCCUCUGAUAGUCAGAGGAAGAGUCAGGGGAAUGAGUUCAACACUUUCCACUGCUGGUUGACAGCCUGCCACCGUUUAAAGAUGCGGUACACAGAGGGUCCCUCGUGGAUGAUGAGACCUGAGGCCACAGGGAGAAGAAGGAAAGCCACGUAAGGAAAGCAAGUCAUAGUCUCCCAUUAUUUAUAAAUGAAGGCGACUCCUGUGAAAAGGUCGUUCAACCCCCAAAUGAGUCGUGACCCACAGGUUGGCAAACCACAGGUUGAGAACCACUGCUGGAACUGAAAGGAGCUCUAGAAACCAACCAGCUCCACAGAAGUGGAGACAAGCCUUCGCACCUGCGUCUCCUCUCCCACAGCUGAGAGCCUUCAGUAGUCACCUGGAGGGAUGCUCCCCUCCCCCUGCAGAGUUGCAGGCAAUUAUGGGGCAAGACACCUCGGAAGCCCCACCGUUGCCAAACACUCACCUUCCAGAUGCUACCCCUCAAGGGGCUAGCCCUGUCAGGACCUGCACCAAAGAACUUAUCAGGCAAGUGUGGGAAAGAUAUCAAUAUAACCAGCUAUGUGGGGUGGUU